rnacentral:rRNA from 1 species
GAUGAACGCUGGCGGCGUGCCUAACACAUGCAAGUCGAGCGGAUGGAUUAAGAGCUUGCUCUUAUGAAGUUAGCGGCGGACGGGUGAGUAACACGUGGGUAACCUGCCCAUAAGACUGGGAUAACUCCGGGAAACCGGGGCUAAUACCGGAUAACAUUUUAAACCGCAUGGUUCGAAAUUGAAAGGCGGCUUCGGCUGUCACUUAUGGAUGGACCCGCGUCGCAUUAGCUAGUUGGUGAGGUAACGGCUCACCAAGGCAACGAUGCGUAGCCGACCUGAGAGGGUGAUCGGCCACACUGGGACUGAGACACGGCCCAGACUCCUACGGGAGGCAGCAGUAGGGAAUCUUCCGCAAUGGACGAAAGUCUGACGGAGCAACGCCGCGUGAGUGAUGAAGGCUUUCGGGUCGUAAAACUCUGUUGUUAGGGAAGAACAAGUGCUAGUUGAAUAAGCUGGCACCUUGACGGUACCUAACCAGAAAGCCACGGCUAACUACGUGCCAGCAGCCGCGGUAA